rnacentral:rRNA from 1 species
UACGUAGGGACCGAGCGUUGUCCGGAUUCAUUGGGCGUAAAGAGCUCGUAGGCGGCCACUCAAGUCGAAUGUGAAACCUCGAGGCUUAACCUCGAGCCUGCAUUCGAUACUGGGCGGCUAGAGUCUGGUAGGGGGAUCUGGAAUUCCUGGUGUAGCGGUGGAAUGCGCAGAUAUCAGGAAGAACACCUAUGGCGAAAGCAGCUCUCUGGGACGGUACUGACGCUGAGACGCGAAAGCGUGGGGAGCGAACAGG